rnacentral:rRNA from 1 species
UACGUAGGUGGCAAGCGUUAUCCGGAUUUACUGGGUGUAAAGGGCGUGUAGGCGGGGACGCAAGUCAGAUGUGAAAACCACGGGCUCAGCCUGUGGCCUGCAUUUGAAACUGUGUUUCUUGAGUACUGGAGAGGCAGACGGAAUUCCUAGUGUAGCGGUGAAAUGCGUAGAUAUUAGGAGGAACACCAGUGGCGAAGGCGGUCUGCUGGACAGCAACUGACGCUGAGGCGCGAAAGCGUGGGGAGCAAACAGG